rnacentral:rRNA from 1 species
GACUCUCGGCAACAGAUAUCUCGGCUCUUGCAUCGAUGAAGAAUGUAGCAAAAUACGAUACUUAGUGUGAAUUGCAGAAUCCCGUGACCCAUCGAGUCUUUGAACGCAAGUUGCGCCCGAGGCCACUCGGCCGAGGGCACGCCUGCCUAGGCGUC